AUUACUUAUAAUGACUCAGAUUAUACUUGAAAUGACUAGAAUAACUCAUAAACUUUUGCAAUUACUAGACUAACUCACAUGACUAAUGAAAGUACUAAAAACCCAUCCUUCCUUUUCAUAUUCACUUUUUUUUUUGGUUUUUUUUUUUGAAAUUUCUUUUCAUAUUAGAUAAUUAUUUUAUUUUCCCCUAAAAAGAAUCCUCAAUCUCUCGUUAUCCUCUCCGACGAAAGAAACGUCGAAGACGAAGGAGGGUUCUCUUCACUUCCGUCUCCGGUGAACUCUCCUCUGGGACAGGCUCCUUCCGUUUCGUCAUCUCCACCUCAACUCGCUGUCGUCUGUCAUACAAAAAGAACCCUAAAUCCGAUUUCACUUUUUUGUCAAAAUCCACCUUUCAAUCUAAGAAAAUUGAACCUGGAUGUUUCAGACAGAACAUAAUUGGCGUUACUAUCUAUGCUUCCUUAGGAGAGGAUGCUUUGAUUUACUCACUCAAUGUGGUUGGUGUGUAAGUUUGUUUUUGUUACGUGAAUUACAGGGAUGUUUCAGACAAACCAAUGCCUCGAGGGGAGAUUGUGGUAGGUGAUAACUGUGUAACAGCAGGUUACUUCAACAAUCAAUCAAAAACCGAUGAGGUUUACAAGGAAGUUAAGCAGAUGCAGCUUUGUUUCAAGUAAUUACGUUGACAACAUUAUGGUACACACAGACCCAAUGAACAGCUACUGUGUAACUCUUGUUGUAGCAUCAUACGGAGCAUUAGAGAAAUGGGGCAGAGCAAGCAGGAGUUAAAUACAGCGACUUCUCUGAGCUAUGCGAGAACGGUGAUGCAGUAAACGAGGUUCAACAAUCUCUUACCAAGGCGGCAAAGCUAGAAAAAUUUCAUGUACUUAGGGUUUUGACUUUACUUUUACUAAUAAAGUUUGAUCAUGAUGGGGUUGUUUUCUCCCCUUUUAAUACACUAAUUUUCAUUCCAACUUUUAUAUAACGGAGCAAUUUAAGAGAGUAAAA